rnacentral:rRNA from 1 species
UCAAUCUCGUGCGGCUAAAAGCCGCCUGUCCCUCUAAGAAGAAAUGAUUUCGCCGGUAGAUAGGGAUACCGGUUACGCCUAUUUAGUAGGCUAGAGUCUCGUUCGUUAU